rnacentral:rRNA from 1 species
AAGAGUUCAUAUCGACGUCGGUGUUUGGCACCUCGAUGUCGGCUCAUCACAUCCUGGGGCUGAAGUAGGUCCCAAGGGUAUGGCUGUUCUCCAUUUAAAGUGGUACGCGAGCUGGGUUUAGAACGUCGUGAGACAGUUCGGUCCCUAUCUGCCGUGGGCGCUGGAGAAUUGAGGGGUGCUGCUACUAGUACGAUAUGACCGGAGUGGACGCAUCAAUGGUGUUCGUGUUGUCCUGCCAAUGGCACUGCCCGGUAGCUAAAUGCUGAAGAGAUAAGUGCUGAAAGCAUCUAAGCACGAAAC